rnacentral:rRNA from 1 species
UAUCUCUGUAGAGUCUGCAUAUCAAUAAGCGGAGGAAAAGAAACUAACUAGGAUUCCCUCAGUAACGGCGAGUGAAGCGGGAAGAGCUCAAAUUUGAAAUCUUCAAGGUUCUACCUUGACGAAUUGUAGUUUAAAGAAGUGUUUUCUGUUGGAGUUUUGGUAAAAGUUCUUUGGAAUAGGACAUCAUAGAGGGUGAGAAUCCCGUAUUUGACCAUUAUUUCCAGCUUUGUGAUACACUUUCAAAGAGUCGGAUUGUUUGGGAAUGCAGUCCAAAAUGGGUGGUAAAUUUCAUCUAAAGCUAAAUACUGGCGAGAGACCGAUAGCGAACAAGUACCGUGAGGGAAAGAUGAAAAGAACUUUGAAGAGAGAGUUAAACAGUACGUGAAAUUGUCAAAAGGGAAGCGUUUCGACACCAGUGUUGUUUUCUCGAAAAUCAAUUAAAAAAGGCAGGAUUUUGUGUUGUAUUGACUUUAUCAGCUUUCUAGCACUCUUUUCCUUGUCUUUUUUAAUGCACUUUUCGUUUAACAAGUCAACAUCAAUUUCUUUUGUUGUAAAAGAGUCAUUGGAAGGUGGCUUUCACUUCGGUGAAAGUGUUUAUAGCCUUUGGCUUCUGCAAUCGGAGAGAUUGAGGUCUGCAGCGUAGAUCCUUCGGGGCUAGAUACGUAGAUGCUAAGUUAUAGUUUUUUAUAGACAACUUGUUGACUAUAAUUAAUCAUGUAGCUUACUCGUUUGCGCUAUUUUACCUACGCUUAGGAUGUUGACGAUCAGCUGAGCGCG